AUGCGUGAUCAGGUCGGCCUGGACCUGGACGGCUUCCCUCUCGACCAUGAGUUUCCGGAGGACUACGGGCUAGAGGAAGAGGAUGAGUGCGACUUCGAAGGGGAGCCUUUGGAUGAGCUCGCCAACCAAGCCGUUGGGCUGAAGCCGAAGCGCGAGAGCAAGCGGACCAAGGCAUACACGGCGGCCGAGGACAAGCUUCUUUGCGGGUGUUGGAGAGACAUUGGACAAGACCCCAAGAUGGGCACCGAACAAAAGCAUUCAACCUUUUGGAUUCGUGUCCACCAUGAGUUCCAUGAGCGCAAGAAGUUUCCGUCGUACCAAAUAGUAAGCGCGCGCGGGUGGGUGUCCAUUUCGAAGCGAUGGAGGGUGAUCCAACAAGAGUGCAACAAGUUUUGUGCCACUCUUGAGAGCGUCAAGGCCCACCUCGUUAGCGGCAUCGUCAUGCAAUAUAUGGUAUGCUAG
rnacentral:rRNA from 1 species